GGUCAGAAAUCUGCACGUUUCUUUUAAUAAUAGUGGUUAUAAACUAGUUAUAAGGUAUCGCUCAGAAAACAAACACUUAUGAAGUGAUACUCCUUGAAAUUGUACAAAAACUCAUUUAGUUAACAAUGAGAGCGAACAUAUUUAUCAAAUUAAUUGGAUUAUUUUUUAUAAUUGCCAUGAUGUCUUCGUUUCAAGAAAUCGAAGCGGCAAUGAAAUCGCGCGUAUGUAAAAUGGACUGUGAAUUACUUUGCAAGACACGGGGUUGGAGUUACGGAGUUUGCAGUCGAGGGAAGUGUUUCUGUGCGCGGGGAGUGGGGACAUCAAAUAAAUAUAUAUUUAAAUAAAGUAAUUUAUAAAAUGUGUUAA